CUGGGGGGUAGAGCACUGUUUCGGCUAGGGGGUCAUCCCGACUUACCAAACCGAUGCAAACUCCGAAUACCCAGAAGUGCCGAGCAUGGGAGACACACGGCGGGUGCUAACGUCCGUCGUGAAAAGGGAAACAACCCAGACCGCCAGCUAAGGUCCCAAAGUUGUGGUUAAGUGGUAAACGAUGUGGGAAGGCUUAGACAGCUAGGAGGUUGGCUUAGAAGCAGCCACCCUUUAAAGAAAGCGUAAUAGCUCACUAGUCGAGUCGGCCUGCGCGGAAGAUGUAACGGGGCUCAAACCACACACCGAAGCUGCGGGUGUCACGUAAGUGACGCGGUAGAGGAGCGUUCUGUAAGCCUGUGAAGGUGAGUUGAGAAGCUUGCUGGAGGUAUCAGAAGUGCGAAUGCUGACAUGAGUAACGACAAUGGGUGUGAAAAACACCCACGCCGAAAGACCAAGGGUUCCUGCGCAACGUUAAUCGACGCAGGGUUAGUCGGUUCCUAAGGCGAGGCUGAAAAGCGUAGUCGAUGGGAAACAGGUUAAUAUUCCUGUACUUCUGGUUACUGCGAUGGAGGGACGGAGAAGGCUAGGCCAGCUUGGCGUUGGUUGUCCAAGUUUAAGGUGGUAGGCUGAAAUCUUAGGUAAAUCCGGGGUUUCAAGGCCGAGAGCUGAUGACGAGUCGUCUUUUAGAUGACGAAGUGGUUGAUGCCAUGCUUCCAAGAAAAGCUUCUAAGCUUCAGGUAACCAGGAACCGUACCCCAAACCGACACAGGUGGUCGGGUAGAGAAUACCAAGGCGCUUGAGAGAACUCGGGUGAAGGAACUAGGCAAAAUGGCACCGUAACUUCGGGAGAAGGUGCGCCGGCUAGGGUGAAGGAUUUACUCCGUAAGCUCUGGCUGGUCGAAGAUACCAGGCCGCUGCGACUGUUUAUUAAAAACACAGCACUCUGCAAACACGAAAGUGGACGUAUAGGGUGUGACGCCUGCCCGGUGCCGGAAGGUUAAUUGAUGGGGUUAGCGCAAGCGAAGCUCUUGAUCGAAGCCCCGGUAAACGGCGGCCGUAACUAUAACGGUCCUAAGGUAGCGAAAUUCCUUGUCGGGUAAGUUCCGACCUGCACGAAUGGCGUAACGAUGGCGGCGCUGUCUCCACCCGAGACUCAGUGAAAUUGAAAUCGCUGUGAAGAUGCAGUGUAUCCGCGGCUAGACGGAAAGACCCCGUGAACCUUUACUGUAGCUUUGCACUGGACUUUGAGCCUGCUUGUGUAGGAUAGGUGGGAGGCUUUGAAGCGUGGACGCCAGUUCGCGUGGAGCCAUCCUUGAAAUACCACCCUGGCAUGCUUGAGGUUCUAACUCUGGUCCGUAAUCCGGAUCGAGGACAGUGUAUGGUGGGCAGUUUGACUGGGGCGGUCUCCUCCUAAAGAGUAACGGAGGAGUACGAAGGUGCGCUCAGACCGGUCGGAAAUCGGUCGCAGAGUAUAAAGGCAAAAGCGCGCUUGACUGCGAGACAGACACGUCGAGCAGGUACGAAAGUAGGUCUUAGUGAUCCGGUGGUUCUGUAUGGAAGGGCCAUCGCUCAACGGAUAAAAGGUACUCCGGGGAUAACAGGCUGAUACCGCCCAAGAGUUCAUAUCGACGGCGGUGUUUGGCACCUCGAUGUCGGCUCAUCACAUCCUGGGGCUGAAGCCGGUCCCAAGGGUAUGGCUGUUCGCCAUUUAAAGUGGUACGCGAGCUGGGUUUAGAACGUCGUGAGACAGUUCGGUCCCUAUCUGCCGUGGACGUUUGAGAUUUGAGAGGGGCUGCUCCUAGUACGAGAGGACCGGAGUGGACGAACCUCUGGUGUUCCGGUUGUCACGCCAGUGGCAUUGCCGGGUAGCUAUGUUCGGAAAAGAUAACCGCUGAAAGCAUCUAAGCGGGAAACUUGCCUCAAGAUGAGAUCUCACUGGGAACUUGAUUCCCCUGAAGGGCCGUCGAAGACUACGACGUUGAUAGGCUGGGUGUGUAAGCGUUGUGAGGCGUUGAGCUAACCAGUACUAAUUGCCCGUGAGGCUUGACCAU
rnacentral:rRNA from 1 species